rnacentral:rRNA from 1 species
AACGAACGCUGGCGGCAGGCUUAACACAUGCAAGUCGAACGAGAUCUUCGGAUCUAGUGGCAGACGGGUGAGGAACACGUGGGAACAUCCCUUUCAGUUCGGAAUAACGUUGGGAAACUAACGCUAAUACCGGAUACGUCCUUCGGGAGAAAGAUUCAUCGCUGAAAGAUUGGCCCGCGUCUGAUUAGCUAGUUGGUGAGGUAACGGCUCACCAAGGCUACGAUCAGUAGCUGAUCUGAGAGGAUGAUCAGCCACAUUGGGACUGAGACACGGCCCAAACUCCUACGGGAGGCAGCAGUGGGGAAUAUUGGACAAUGGGCGCAAGCCUGAUCCAGCCAUGCCGCGUGAGUGAUGACGGCCUUCGGGUUGUAAAGCUCUUUUGUCCGGGAAGAUAAUGACUGUACCGGAUGAAUAAGCCCCGGCAAACUUCGUGCCAGCCGCCGCCGUAAAAC